rnacentral:rRNA from 1 species
AGAACGAACGCUGGCGGCAGGCCUCAAACAUGCAAGUCUAGGGGGUGUAGCAAUACAUCACCGGCGGACGGGUGCGUAACGCGUGGGAAUGUACCUAUUGGUUCGGAACAACUGAGGGAAACUUCAGCUAAUACCGGAUGAGCCCGAAAGGGGAAAGAUUUCUCGCCAAUAGAUCAGCCCGCGUCCGAUUAGCUAGUUGGUGGGGUUAAAGCCUACCAAGGCGACGAUCGGUAGCUGUUCUGAGAGGAAGAUCAGCCACACUGGGACUGAGACACGGCCCAGACUCCUACGGGAGGCAGCAGUUGGGAAUCUUGGACAAUGGGGGAAACCCUGAUCCAGCCAUGCCGCGUGAGUGAUGAAGGCCUUCGGGUUGUAAAACUCUUUCGACGGGGACGAUAAUGACGGUACCCGUAGAAGAAGCGUCCGGCUAACUUCGUGCCAGCAGCCGC